rnacentral:lncRNA from 1 species
CGCUAGUCCUACUGGCUACUGUGCGUCUGUGCUAUUGCCUUGACAAGAUGAAAAAAGUUUUUGGAUUUUGACACUAUAUUAUUUUUGUUUUUUAUUUGACAAACAUUGUUCAAUCAUAGAGUAACUAGGUUUAAAAGAUUCGUCUUGCGAUUUACAGGUAAACUGUGUAAUUAGUUUUUAUUUUUAUUUUUAUUUAAUUCUUCAUAUAUGUGCCGCAAGAUUCGACAUGAUAGAGAAUCUUGAAAAAAUUUUAGUUUUUGAUGAACUAAACAAGCCAGCGUGGCACCUGAAAAUUCCUUUAAAAAAAAGGCACACGAAAAUUCAACUUUAUGCCGAAACAAAAAGGCACCGCGUCAGCAGCACGAGUGGCACGUCAUCCACCGCCCCCACCAUACCAAAAAGAAAAAGGAAAAAUUCACGCGCACGCUCC